rnacentral:rRNA from 1 species
AAGAUUAAUACCGCAUAAGAUUGUAGUAUCGCAUGAUAUAGCAAUUAAAAGGAAGCAAUUCGCUAUAAGAUGGACCCGCGUCGCAUUAGCUAGUUGGUGAGGUAAUGGCUCGCCAAGGCGACGAUGCGUAGCCGACCUGAGAGGGUGAUCGGCCACAUUGGGACUGAGACACGGCCCAGACUCCUACGGGAGGCAGCAUG